UUCUCCUGUGCCUUUAAAAAGCAACACACACAAGCACACACCUGGCACUCCGAACCUCGUUUGUACCCACGGGAUGCUGGUGAAGUCAUCGUGAUUACACAGGAUAAGGGAGGUUGAAGCUGGCCUCUUUAAACCAGGAUUUUAAAUUGGGGGUAUUUUAUUCCUGUGUAUUCUUCCCAUUGCUAAACCUUUUACAGAGGCUACUGAGGCAGGGAGCUGCUGAGCUAAUCCUCUUUGACUCCCUGCCAUCCUGGCAGGUACAGCAAAGCCUAAGGCUUUUCAGAAAGAAACAUUUCAAAUCCCUGCUGUAAACCAGUGGCAUAAUUAGCUGCAUGUUACACCUGGUAUUUCACUCUUCCAAAGAGUCAUUCCUUUGAGCUUUCUUUUUUACUAAGCCCCGAGGUCUCCAGAAACUGAAGCUCCUUGUUCACUCGUCUGCCGGCUGACAGGACCUUGAGGGGCAGCACAGGCCAGGCGAGGGCUGCGGGGUGCCCUCCCGCCGGCCAGCGGCCCCCUGCAGCCCGGGCAGCGGAGCGAGCAGGGGCGGCGGGAGCGGGCGGGACCCCCGAGGGCAGGCGAACGCCCUCCUGGCUGCCCGCGCCGGGGCGCGAUGUGUGCAGCCUAAUUGCGCCGCGAUAAGAUCAAACAAAGGCUCUCUGAUCCGGCAGCUGGCAGCCCGCCAGCCUAUCUGGGCUCCCAUCUGACAAGCCUGCCGAUUGAUCAAAUCAUUAGCUGCCAGUGUAGGUGGAUCGGCUGCCACCAGCCAAAUUCCUUCGCUUGCCGCUUCGCUUCUCCGGAGAGGACUCGAGGCUCCAGCAGCUCCUUCUCCCCACCCUGCUAUCGGCAGCACCCCUCGGGCUCGGGUUCACCCCGGGGAAGCUCUGCCUUUUGCUUCCCAAGUGUAAAAGAGUGGUUUUGUCCCUGAUGUGCUCGCAGAGAACUUGCAAAACCACAGAAGAAAGGCAGUCGGCUGUGCGCAGAGGCACAGCAGAGCUAUCUGUGCUGCCAGGGCCAGCACCAGGCACAGCCACAGCUGCUGCCCCUGCCGGUUCUGCCUCGUCCUCUCUGCUGCACUCGGGGCUGUGUAGGACGUAGCGCCGGAAUCUGAGGGCUCCCUGAGCACCUCCUCGUUAGCUGGGACGA